GGCCAAUGAUGUUAAUAAAUAUUUGCUACUCUUGAUGGCUCUGCCACCUGAUGACACUCAUCCACCGAGAUCUCUGAGGCC
rfam:Picea glauca, whole genome shotgun sequence.